rfam:Salmo salar isolate Sally breed double haploid chromosome ssa26, whole genome shotgun sequence.
UGCAUUCACUACUGUAAGUCGCUCUGAUAAGAGCGUCUGCUAAAUGACUAGAA